rnacentral:snRNA from 1 species
GUGCUUGCUUCAGCAGCACAGACACUAAAAUUGGAAUGAUACAGAGAAGAUUAGCAGGGCCCCUGUGCAAAGAUGACAUGCAAAUUUAUGAAGUAUUGCACUACCUU